rnacentral:rRNA from 1 species
UACGUAGGUGGCAAGCGUUGUCCGGAUUUACUGGGCGUAAAGAGCGCGCAGGCGGUUGAUUAAGUCGAAUGUGAAAGCCCCCGGCUCAACUGGGGAGGGUCAUUCGAUACUGAUCAACUUGAAGGCAGGAGAGGGAUGUGGAAUUCCAGGUGUAGCGGUGAAAUGCGUAGAUAUCGAGAGGAACACCUGCGGCGAAGGCGGGUUGCUGGGCCGACACUGACGCUGAUGCGCGAAAGCCAGGGGAGCGAACGGG